CCUACGGGAGGCUGCGGUGGGGAAUAUUGGACAAUGGGGGGGACCCUGAUCCAGCCAUGCCGCGUGUGUGAAGAAGGCCCUCGGGUUGUAAAGCACUUUCAGUGAGGAAGAACGCCUGGUGGUUAAUACCCAUCAGGAAAGACAUCACUCACAGAAGAAGCACCGGCUAACUCCGUGCCAGCAGCCGCGGUAAUACGGAGGGUGCGAGCGUUAAUCGGAAUUACUGGGCGUAAAGCGCGCGUAGGUGGCUUGAUAAGCCGGUUGUGAAAGCCCCGGGCUCAACCUGGGAACGGCAUCCGGAACUGUCAAGCUAGAGUGCAGGAGAGGAAGGUAGAAUUCCCGGUGUAGCGGUGAAAUGCGUAGAGAUCGGGAGGAAUACCAGUGGCGAAGGCGGCCUUCUGGACUGACACUGACACUGAGGUGCGAAAGCGUGGGUAGCAAACAGGAUUAGAUACCCGGGUAGUC
rnacentral:rRNA from 1 species